AGCUUUUACAAGAAACUGAAACAAGGACAAUUAAAGAUUAGUCGGGCCAGUAAAUUUCAGAUACGGACAGUUAACUUUACAUAAAAAAUAGAUACAAUCAGACCUAUCUGUAACAGCAUCCCUAUAUAACAAUCAUUCACUGUCAUUCAUUGUAAAAAUCAUAUUUUCCUCGAAACCGAUUUUUAUAUUAUAUUUAUAUAUAUCCUCUGUAAUAGCACUUCACUAUAUUUUCCUCGAAACCGAUUUUUAUGUUAUAUUUAUAUAUAUCCUCUAUAACAACAUUUCACUAUAGCCGCCAAAAAAUAACGGAACAAAUGAGGUUGUCAUAGAAAGAUUUGACUGUAGCAACAAACCUACUGAGAAUCGUCUUGGAAGGGUAUAAUGUACACAGACCUUACCUCGACCUUUGUGAAAAUAGAAAGGCUGUUUCCGGUAUAACCUCAGCAAAAUAAAAUUUUCCAAGAAAAUCAAAUGGGGUAUCUUUUUUACUUACCUUUUUCCUUGACAAAUUGUGAAAUCUUGGAGUCGUCAAAUAUGGUGAAGUAGGCUGGUUAAUUUUGAAUGCAGAACCUGAAGAAACUGCCAUAUUGUAUAAUGAUGAAGUUAACUUUGCUCAGAGAGAAAAAUGAACAAAGUCUAAAAUGAAGUUGAUUGAAUUAUUGGACACAAGAGAAGAGGGGGACAGAAUUUAUAAUUUGUGACAAGAAAGAGAGUCUUCCCUUGAAUAUAAAUAGCAAAUAUCAAUUCCCCAUGAAAUAUUUGUCUGUACUCUCCAGAUGACAAAUAUUAU
rnacentral:lncRNA from 1 species